CCUACGGGUGGCAGCAGUGAGGAAUAUUGGUCAAUGGGCUUACGCCUGAACCAGCCAAGUCGCGUGAGGGAAGACUGCCCUAUGGGUUGUAAACCUCUUUUGUCAGGGAGCAACGCCGGCUACGUGUAGCCGGACUGAGAGUACCUGCAGAAAAAGCAUCGGCUAACUCCGUGCCAGCAGCCGCGGUAAUACGGAGGAUGCGAGCGUUAUCCGGAUUUAUUGGGUUAAAAGGGUGCGUAGGCGGAAUGCCAAGUCAGCGGUAAAGUCGCGGGGCUCAACCUCGCUCCGCCGUUGAAACUGGCAGUCUGGAGUACAGUAGAGGUGAGCGGAAUUCGUGGUGUAGCGGUGAAAUGCUUAGAUAUCACGAAGAACUCCGAUUGCGAAGGCAGCUCACUGGACUGCAACUGACACUGAUGCUCGAAAGUGUGGGUAUCAAACAGGAUUAGAUACCCUUGUAGUC
rnacentral:rRNA from 1 species